rnacentral:rRNA from 1 species
AUGUAUAGCAAUAGCUACUUGCAUCAUAGUAAAUAUGAUGCAAGAUCGACUAUGUCGAAUAAAAUUCUAGGUAGAAUUAUGAUAAUGACAUUGUCUGCCUAUGUGUCUUGACCAAAUUACGUGCCAGCAGUCGCGGUAAUACGUAGAAGACUAGUGUUAUUCAUGUUUAAUCGGUUUAAAGGGUACCUAGACGGUAAAUCAAGCCUAAAAGGAAAUAAAUGAAGGGACUAAUUUACUAGAGUUACUUAUGAGGGGGUAUUAAAGUACUGCUGGUGUAGAGAUGAAAUUCUGUCAUACCUCUUUUCAAUAGAAAAAUAAUGGCACAGGUAUAGGCGAAAGCAUCCCCUUAUGUGAUAACUGACGUUGAGGGACGAAGGCUUUGUGUAGCGAACAGGAUUAGAUACCCCAGUAGUCAAAGCAGAAAAUGAUGAAUGUCAUAGAUUAGAUACAUAAGUUUAUUCUAUAAAUGAAAGUGUAAGCAUUCCACCUCAAGAGUAAUUUGGCAACAUUGGAACUGAAAUCAUUAGACCGUUUCUGAAACCAGUAGUGAAGUAUGUUGUUUAAUUUGAUGAUCCGCAAAAAACCUUACCACAAUUUGAAUAUUUAUAUCUUUUAUUGUUUUUCUUUUUAACUUUCUUCUGAUUUUCUACUUAAAAGAAAACAAUAACAAGAAAAAAGAGGCAAUAAGAUAUAUUUACAAGCGUUGCACGGCUGUCUUCAGUUAAUGUCGCGAGACUCUGGUUAGUUCCAUUAAAUUAACGUAAACCCUUACUUUAUUUUUAUAUAGAGUAGUUCCCCGCUAUAUUGGAUAUGAUAACAGGGACUAAGA